UAGGGAAUCUUCGGCAAUGGGGGGAACCCUGACCGAGCAACGCCGCGUGAGUGAAGAAGGUUUUCGGAUCGUAAAGCUCUGUUGUAAGAGAAGAACGGGUGUGAGAGUGGAAAGUUCACACUGUGACGGUAUCUUACCAGAAAGGGACGGCUAACUACGUGCCAGCAGCCGCGGUAAUACGUAGGUCCCGAGCGUUGUCCGGAUUUAUUGGGCGUAAAGCGAGCGCAGGCGGUUAGAUAAGUCUGAAGUUAAAGGCUGUGGCUUAACCAUAGUAUGCUUUGGAAACUGUUUAACUUGAGUGCAGAAGGGGAGAGUGGAAUUCCAUGUGUAGCGGUGAAAUGCGUAGAUAUAUGGAGGAACACCGGUGGCGAAAGCGGCUCUGUGGUCUGUAACUGACGCUGAGGCUCGAAAGCGUGGGGAGCAAACA
rnacentral:rRNA from 1 species